rnacentral:rRNA from 1 species
UGCCAGCCGCCGCGGUAAUACGGAGGGUGCAAGCGUUGUCCGGAUUUACUGGGUUUAAAGGGUACGUAGGCGGCCAAUUAAGUCAGUGGUGAAAUAUGUCGGCUCAACCGGCAAGGUGCCAUUGAUACUGAUUGGCUGGAGUGUUGUAAAGGUGGGCGGAAUUGAUGGUGUAGCGGUGAAAUGCAUAGAUACCAUCAAGAACACCGAUUGCGAAGGCAGCUCACUGGGCAACAACUGACGCUGAGGUACGAAAGCGUGGGGAGCGAACAGGAUUAGAUA